rnacentral:misc_RNA from 1 species
UCCGGCUUAUCACCGGCAGUUUCCUUAUAGUUCCCGGCCUAACCGCUGGCAAAUAAGGAUGAGGGUUGCGCUCGUUGCGGGACUUAACCCAAUAUCUCACGACACGAGCUGACGACAGCCAUGCAACACCUGUGUGUGGUCCAGCCGAACUGAAGGAUCUCAUCUCUGUGAUCCGCGACCACCAUGUCAAGGGUUGGUAAGGUUUUUCGCGUAGCAUCGAAUUAAACCGCAUGCUCCACCGCUUGUGCGAGCCCCCGUCAAUUCCUUUGAGUUUUAAUCUUGCGAUCGUACUCCCCAGGCGGAGUGCUUAAUGCGUUAGCUUUGAAACCGAAAAAUAAAUUCCCGAUAUCUAGCACUCAUCGUUUACAGCGUGGACUAC